rnacentral:snRNA from 1 species
GCUCACUUCAGCAGCAUACAGUAAAAUGGGAAUAAUACAGAAAAGAUCAGCAUGACCCCUACACAAAGACACAAAUUCAUGAAGCAUUCCAUAUUGAA